AACGAACGCUGGCGGCAUGCCUAACACAUGCAAGUCGAACGAAGCCUUCGGGCUUAGUGGCGCACGGGUGCGUAACGCGUGGGAAUCUGCUCUUGGGUUCGGAAUAACAGUUAGAAAGGACUGCUAAUACCGGAUGAUGUCUUCGGACCACAGAUUUAUCGCCCAAGGAUGAGCCCGCGUAGGAAUAGGUAGUUGGUGGGGUAAUGGCCCACCAAGCCGACGAUCCUUAGCUGGUCCGAGAGGAUGAUCAGCCACACUGGGACUGAGACACGGCCCAGACUCCUACGGGAGGCAGCAGUGGGGAAUAUUGGACAAUGGGCGAAAGCCUGAUCCAGCAAUGCCGCGUGAGUGAUGAAGGCCUUAGGGUUGUAAAGCUCUUUUACCAGGGAUGAUAAUGACAGUACCUGGAGAAUAAGCUCCGGCUAACUCCGUGCCAGCCGCCGCAGUAAAAC
rnacentral:rRNA from 1 species